rnacentral:rRNA from 1 species
CGGACGGGUGAGUAAUGUCUGGGAAACUGCCUGGUGGAGGGGGAUAACUACUGGAAACGGUAGCUAAUACCGCAUAACGUCGCAAGACCAAAGAGGGGGACCUUAGGGCCUCUUGCCAUCGGAUGUGCCCAGAUGGGAUUAGCUAGUAGGUGGGGUAAAGGCUCACCUAGGCGACGAUCCCUAGCUGGUCUGAGAGGAUGACCAGCCACACUGGAACUGAGACACGGUCCAG